UACGGAGGGUGCUAGCGUUGUUCGGAAUUACUGGGCGUAAGCGCGCGCAGGGGGUCACCAGCAUCGGGGGUGAAAGCCCCCCGCUCAACGGGGGAGGGUCCAUCGAGAUGGGGUGACUGGAGGCAGGGAGAGGCCAGUGGAAUUCCGGGUGUAGUGGUGAAAUGCGUAGAGAUCCGGAGGAACACCAGUGGCGAAGGCGGCUGGCUGGACCUGACCUGACGCUGAGGCGCGAAGGCGUGGGGAGCGAACGGG
rnacentral:rRNA from 1 species